rnacentral:snRNA from 1 species
GUGCUCCCUUAGACAGCACAUAACUUGAAACAAUACUGGGAAGAUCAGCAUGACUCCAUGUAAAUAUGACAUGAACAUUAAUUGAAAUGUUUCCCACUUCU